rnacentral:rRNA from 1 species
GACGAACGCUGGCGGCGUGCCUAACACAUGCAAGUCGAGCGGAGACAUGAGGGAGCUUGCUCCCGAGUGUUUUAGCGGCGGACGGGUGAGUAACGCGUGAGCAACCUUUCUCUCAGUGGGGAAUAACACAGGGAAACCUGUACUAAUACCGCAUGAGACCACAAUGCCGCAUGGCAUAGGGGUCAAAGAUUUAUUGCUGAGAGGUGGGCUCGCGUCCGAUUAGAUAGUUGGUGAGGUAACGGCUCACCAAGUCGACGAUCGGUAGCCGACCUGAGAGGGUGAUCGGCCACAUUGGGACUGAGACACGGCCCAAACUCCUACGGGAGGCAGCAGUGGGGAAUAUUGGGCAAUGGGCGAAAGCCUGACCCAGCAACGCCGCGUGAAGGAAGAAGGUCUUCGGAUCGGUAAACUUCUGUCCUAAGUGAAGAGAAGAAGACGGUAGCUUAGGAGGAAGCCCCGGCUAACUACGUG